rnacentral:rRNA from 1 species
GACGAACGCUGGCGGCGUGCUUAACACAUGCAAGUCGAACGGAAAGGCCUUUUCGGAGGUACUCGAGUGGCGAACGGGUGAGUAACACGUGGGUGAUCUGCCCUGCACUCUGGGAUAAGCCUGGGAAACUGGGUCUAAUACCGGAUAGGACCGCACUUUAGUGUGUGUGGUGGAAAGUUUUUUCGGUGUAGGAUGAGCCCGCGGCCUAUCAGCUUGUUGGUGGGGUAAUGGCCUACCAAGGCGGCGACGGGUAGCCGGACUGAGAGGUUGGUCGGCCACAUUGGGACUGAGAUACGGCCCAGACUCCUCCGGGAGGCAGCAGUGGGGAAUAUUGCACAAUGGGCGCAAGCCUGAUGCAGCGACGCCGCGUGGGGGAUGACGGCCUUCGGGUUGUAAACGCCUUUCGCCAGGGACGAAGCGUUUUGUGACGGUACCUGGAGAAGAAGCACCGGCUAACUACGU